rnacentral:lncRNA from 1 species
CGUCCAGUUAGUCUGUAGGCUGGGGAAGGGGACCCCACCCACCCAGGGGGUCCUGAGUGCGAGUUCUGAAGGGGAUGGGGAGGGAAUGGAUUACGUACUCUGAAACCACGGCAUUGGUUCAAAUUCCAUAGUGACCGUUGACGAAAAAUGGGGUCUGCAGGCCUGGUCCGGCGGUGUGACCACUGGUGUCACUCUAUCUUCGGCUUUAUUUUAAUCAACAUGCCAGGAACAUUGGUAAAAAGGUCAGUUGUAAAAUGAAAUGUCACAAGUUAGGGAUCAAUGGUUACAUAGACAUUGCUCAAGUUUCCGUUUCUCCUGAGAAACUGACCUGGGGUCAACUGAAAAGAAUUUAGGCCUCAGUCAGCAAGAGAGGGUCUGUUUUCUUUUAAAAGAUUGGCCCUAAGUUAACAUCUGUUGCCAAUCUUCCUCCUUUUAUUUUUCCUUCUCCCCAAAGCCCCCCUGAGCUGACACUGGGCUACUGGGGUAACCCAGCACAGUCUCCCCGACUCAAGAGCCGCGUCUGCCAAGUGCCCUUGCCAUGGAGGGUGACGUGCUCACAAGUUGUGAGCAUUGAUGCCGAUCUUUUUGGGGACCAUUAUUCUGCCUACAGCAGCAAAGUGGUCAUCAAAGGCAGCAGGCGUUUGAGUUCUGAAUGCAAGCAGAAGAGUCUUCCCUCCCUCCAGAGAUGUCCGUCAACUGCGUCCCGGUCCAAGAAGGUGGGCCACGCAGGCGAGAACGGGGACCACGUGUGCGGAGCAGGGCCACGGCUGCCACAGCCAGCAGCCAUUCCCUGGGCCAACAGCACAGACGAAGGUGGCUCCAGGAUCCAGAAUCAGGCGCGGACGGUGGAGGAAGGUGAGGCCACUAAAUGACCACCAAGGCCCUUGGGACAUGAGGAAGAGGGUCUGGAGUGAUGUGACCCGGACCCCACCCCCUAACCACUGAGACAGGGGAAAGCUUCCUGCUAGAGGAUGCAGAGACCCUGAUAACCUUCUUCAGAUUGUCAUUUUUAUUAGUGUUUAUUUAACUGAUGCCAGCUCUCAUUCCAGAAUGUGAAUUUAGUCAUCCCCAACAAAUCCUUUGAUGUCUUCAGAAAGUCCCAAGUUACUGUUGGAUGUGGACACUCACAGCCCUGACAUCCUCUUUCUCCAAGAAGCAGAGCUGAGCCCCCAGAGGAAGGCGUUUAUCAGCCAAGUGCAAGGCACCCCAGGGGAAGCAGGGACGUGAGACAGCAAAGGAGGGGACUAGGAGGCAGCAGUGGAGGGGUGUGAGGAGGCCAGAUCACUGCGGGACGCUGGAGCUCCAGCCCUCCAGGAAACUGGAACCCGCACCUUCGAGGGGCGAGGGGGCUGGGCGUUCCACACCAGCCUUCAGUCCCGCUGCAGACACUGCUGGGGCCAUCAAGUCCCGGCACACAUGGAUGUGGACAGUGAGGCCUCCUGCGGUCUAGCAGACGGCUGUCAGGCAAAGAGGAGAUGCAGCUAGAACUGGGGUGGAGCCCACAGGCCAGAGUGUUGGUGACCCACCAACUGCUUCUGCAACACUUACGUCUAGAGAGAACAUUCCGGAACCCACCACAGACAGAUCCAGGUAAAGACCACCCCUUCCAGAAGGGGGCUUGGAUAUCAGCCUCACAAGCCAUGCUGGUGCUCACCUCCAGGGCGGGAGGAGUAGGAUGAGGAGCAGAGCUCUGCAGGCGACUGUCUGAGGCUGAAUCCUGCUCUGCCGCCCACCUGCCAGUUCCGUGACCUUGAGCGUCUCUUAGCCUCUCUGCGCCUCAUUUUCCCCUCUGCAAAGGGGAGGCGAUGACAAGACUUCUCUGGGAGGGUGGUUGGGAGGAUUUAAUGUAUUCAUACAGAUAAAGCUCUUAAAAAGUUCACGCCAUAAUAAGCGCUCAGACAUUUUUUACUCCAUAUCUUUUGUGAAUUGCCUUUGUUUAUAAACACUCUGAUAUGGUGGGUGCUCAAAGGUUUUAACAAUAAUUUCCUCACUAUAACUAACCCAGAAUUGGUGGAGGCGUUGCUGUGAAAAUGAAAACGAGGCGCCCAUGGUAUCGUGAGCUGGUCUCCAGAGAACCCGGGGAAGGCGUGUGGCCCAUGAGCAGUCCGGGGAGGUCACCUGUAGAGUAGAUUUGUCACCCAAAGAGCCUGCGACGAGCUUAUUAUGGGAAUCUGAUAUUCAGUUUGCUAGCUUGUAGAUAUAAAAGAAAAUAAUCUAGAAAAAAUAAGGUUUUAAAAACAACGCGUGCGAAGUCUUUAAAUACGUAGUUUUCCACACAGUUGACCAUAUGCAUGCUGGCAAUAGUGAGGAGGAUUUUAGGCUGCUUACUUUUAAAACUGCAGAUGAGAAGCAGGCUCCGAGGACUGGAAUUUUGCUUGCCCUUUUGAGACAUUUGCGUUUGUGAAGGAAGGGGGGAUGACCUUGUAGGGACCUGAAAUUGGCCACCCCAAGAUAUGACUCUUUGGCAUCGGGAUUGUUUUGGGCUGAUAGCUUUUGAUAAACUGGGACAGGGAAGGAGGCUCUGGGGAAUGGAACUUGCCCUUGUUGGGACACAUUUACAUUUGUAAGGUAAAUCUCUAUCUGUAAAAGGUGCCUCCCUCUCUGUACCAGGAAGAAGAAGAAGAGAGAUGACCUUGUCCCUAGAAACUCUUAAUGGGGAAGGCAAGAACUUAAGUUGGUUGCUGUCUGGCAAUCUCAUGUAACUGAUUUAGGGUGGUGGCUUCUGACCUUUCUAACCUUUACUUAAUCCGAUUUGAUUCUUGUCUAAAAGUCAUGGGAUCACCCAACGACCAGACCCCACCUGCACUGGUACCAUUUUAACUUUUUUUUCAUGUUCUUUCCUUUGUCUUUGUAAAGAGAUGACUCACAUACCUAUGCCUUAAAUUUAGCCCUAACCCUCAACUCGGGGCAGCAGCAGGAGCUCUGCCUGCCCAUGGGUCCUGUCCCCAUGCCAGUGGGGGCAGCAGCAGCUGCUCUGCCUGACCAUGGGCCCUGUCCCCAUGCCAGCGGGGGCAGCAGAAGCGGCGGCAGCAGAAGCUCUGACUGCCCAUGGGUCCUGUCCCCAUGCUAUUCCACACUAUUCUCUAAAUAAAAGAGCACUACUGCCAGAUCUUAAGAGUCUAAGAAAUCUUUCUUU